ACCUCCUCAGCAGGGACUCUCCGCCCAGCCAGUCUGGAAUGGCCUCGUCCUGCCUCCCCCACCUUGAAGCCUCUGCUUUUCUCUUCCAGCAUCUGCGCUGCCUGAUUUGCUGAGCACCUACUAUGCAUCAGACGCUGUGUUCUAGGCAAGGGGGAUACACCUGAUGGAAGAAGGUCCUUCCCUAGACGUAGCUAACAUCCCAGUGUGGGAGAUGACACGAAACAGCAAACUCCCCACAACAGCCUCCUCAACGCUGCCUCCCACAGUGCUUGGACAAAAUAAUUACAGCAAGAUGCGGGCACUGAGCUGACUCCUUAUGUAGGACAUCCCAGUGCAGGUAGAGAAACUGAGGGACAGUUGGAGGUUCCUUGCCCUUGGUGAUGCGGUGAGAGGGCCUGCAGGCACCAGCCCGGCCGCCCGCACCGCUUCUCGCGGACCCCAGCGGAGCCGCGCUUCUCGUGCCGCUCCUGAGGGUUUCCGCGGCGCCGGCGUUUUUGUUCCCGGCGCGUUUAAGUCGUUGAGGCCGAAUCAAGCGAAGGCGGAAAAGCGGCGCGCAGCCCGCGUCAGCUGCAGUUCCGUCCCCCUGGUUCCCGGUGCGCUAACAAAGGCAUUUGCAUGAAAACAGGAACCCCGUCUGCAGAAAGGACUCGUUGGCGGGGUGCAUCGUGCGCUCCAGUGCCCCUACCGCGGCGCCCCGCUCCCCAGGUGGGGAAGAAGCGGGGUGCGGGGACUGGCCCCAAACACGGCUCGGCCGGCGGGGACCGGCACGCUGCGGCCCGGGCGACCCCCUUCUCCGCCCCUUUCCCAGGCCGGCGGAAACGGCCGUCUCGGGCGUGGGCGCGCUUCUGCGGACUCCUCGGGACCUUUUACCCAGGCGUGCGGCCGGGGCGCCCGGGGCCUCGGGGAGCCGGCGCCAGCGUGCGGAGCGCAGCGGAGCGGAGGGAGCGGCGGGAGCGGCGUCCGUGGCUGGUCCAGGUCUGGGGCGCAGCCUCCAGGCUCGCCCUGCGCCGCUCUGGGCCUCGGCCUCUUCGCCUGUUCGACCGGGGCGCAAGCGUGUCACAGCGCCUGUCUGCAGGGGGAAGCGGGCUUCCCAGAGGGGCGCGUGGCUCGCAGAGGGGCUCCGGGAAUAUCCGCUCCGUUGGCCCUUUCCAGAGCUUUUCCUUAGCUGCUUCUCCUUUGAAAUCCGCCUUUUUCCCAGCAGCCCUUGGAGGCAGGAUAAAUUAAGUGGUAAAAGCAGAGGAUUAGGAACCGGGAACCCUGGAUUCAAAUCCUGCCCGCCGCUGACCAGCUUUGUAACCAUGAGCAGGUUACUCCGCCUCUGGAGGCCUCAGCUUCCCCGUCUGUAAAAUGGGGCCUAACACAGUCCAGAAAGUGCUUAGUGCCGCAGUGUCACACACCGAGUGCUUAAUUCAUUCUUAAAAUUAUCACUUCCAGCUGUGGGACAGGCGCAGGGUAGAAAGGGGUUUUCUUAAGGUCACAGGCGGGGUCAAAGGCAAACCCUCCGGGUCCUCACAAGUAAGACUUGCGAAGCAGCAAGUUCCCCAAAGGGUCUUAUCCAGCCGGGUAAGGAGCGCCGGGGCAUCUCCCCCCUCUCUCUCCGCGAAGACGCACAAGCAAUGGCUGGCGAACCUACUGCCUGGAAUGGGGUUCUUGGGUCGAGACCUUUAAAAAAAUAAAGAAGAGGAAGAAGAAAGAAAGAAAACAAACAAACAUGCACGCAAAAACGGAAUGCCAGAGCCUUUGAUCUAGGAGCCAGCUUGCUAUUCAGGGCCGACCACCGUCUCGCCGCAGUUCCUCCCCGGGAAGGAAGCCUCGCGCUGCCCUCCGGUGGCAGGCGAGGUAGUGUCGCCUGGGCGCAACUCACAAGCAGGGGUUUACCGGAGAAGCCAGCUUCGCUCUGCGCGGGUGGGGGCUGUGGGGGAGAGAGGAGGGAAAAUCGGAAUUGUUCCCUGACUGCUGUUUUUUGGUCCCGGUGGAUCUUGGGAGUCUUGGAAAGAGAAUAAUAAGGCUCUCUGCAUUUGAAAGGCAUAGGAGUUUUUACAUUCUGGUUUUAUUUAUUUUUGAAUGGAUAACACAUUUACACGAUUCAAAAGAUAAAAAAGAGGAUAGCGUGAAAAGGAAGUCUCGCUUCCACUCUUGUUCCCCAGGCACCCAGUUCCCCUUCCUAGAGACAGCCAUUGUUACAUGUUUCUGUGUACCCACCCGGAGACAGUCCAUGCAAAUGCAAGUAUUUUACAGGAUCAAUAGUAGCUUGCUCUGUAUACUCUUCUGCCUCUUGCUGCUUCGCUUAAAAAUGCAUCAUGGAGUUUGUUCCAUGUUGAUUCACAUAGGGCUGCCUCGUUCUUUUGAACAGCUGCAUAAUAUUCCAUUGUUUGGCUCUCCUGUAAUUAUUUGAUCAGUGUUCUAUUGAUGAGCCUUGAGGCUGCUUCUAAUCUUCUGUAAUCACAGUGUGUUACAACAAAUAAGCACCUACAUGCAUUGUUAUGCCUAGGUGCCAGUGAGGCACAUAGCUAUUGCGGUAUAACAAACCACUCCGAAAUUCAGUGGCUUUAAAUAGAAAGCUUUUGGUAUUGCUCAUGUGGGUCAGCUGGGUAGCACUGCUGAUCUGGGCCAAGCUCAGCUAACUUUGCAUUUGCUCCUUGUGUCUGGGAUCAGAAAGGGUGGGUCAGCUGGGGCUGGUUUAUUUAGGAUGGUCUAAAUCACAUGUCUGGUAGUUGACUGGCUAUCAGCUAGGGUUAGAGGGGUGUUCAGGCUAUGUGUCCGUCAACAUCUGAUAACAUGCAGUGCCUCCUGAGACUGUAUAACUGGUGUGAAUUUACAUCCAUUACAUUCUGUUGGUGCAAACAUGUCACAAGCCAGCCCAGAUUCAAGAGGUGGGGAAAUAGAAAUCACUUCUCCCAGGGAGGAGCAGCAAAGUCACACGGCAGAGUAUGAUGCAAGGGCCCUGAGGUAUUGUGGCCAUUUAAAAAUAUAUUUAUAAUGUUAUAGUUAGCAUUAUGGUGAUAACAUUACCUUUGGAUAUAAACAUUACCUUUGCCAUUACCUGACAGACGUUACCUCAAGCCUCAAGGCUCAUCAACAGAAGACUGAUCAAAUAAUUAACAACAAUAAUAAUUAACAACAACAAUAAUUUCAACAGAAGACUGAUCAAAUAAUUAACUAGGCCAUCAGGGUUGACAUUAAGUGAUAUUGAUAUUGAUAGCAUAUUCUCUUGAUAUAACUUUUUGAGAAUGACACUGUACCUCUGUGGUUUUCCUCCCCCAAACCAGUCUAAUAAUAACCCCAGUCUAAUAAUGAGAAUAGCCUCACAGAAUAGCCGCUAUGCACAGCCUCCACUUAAGGGAUGGGGAGUUAUGCUUCACUUCCUUGAGGGGGCAGUAUGUAAUAAGUUAUUUGGAAUUCUUCUGCUACUGGUUUAUUCAGUCAUUUAUUCUAUCCGUGUGCACUCAUGGAUAUUUAUUUUGUACUUUUCAUUAUAAUCCAAUACUAUGUUAUUUAUAUUGUUGCUUAAAUUGUUCCAGUUUUGGCGCCUGGGAGCUCUCUCUAUUGGCUCCUGUUUCCCUUUGCCAUAAUUUUUUGUUAUGUUUUUGAGCCCUUCCUUACUUUCUGGCACUAAAGCUGCUCCAGACUCAUCUUGCAUAUUUUCUUCCCAGCCCUAGAAUCAGCCGUUUCUCCAGGGAGCCCGGUUCCUUUCACUGGAGAAUGUUCUUAGAAACAGAUCUGGAUGGUGGGUUUGCAUGUUGCUAUUGGGGACCCACUACCAGGGGGCAGAGCUAGGAAAUACAUGUAUGUAUCCUAGCCCGUGUAUUCACAUAACUGUAAUGAUUCUGUAUCUAUCAUUGGUAUCUAUAUUAAGUUAAACAUGAGCUCAUGCUACCGUCUCUGACUCUAACACAUUCAUACAGUUCAUUCUAUCCUUCUCCCUUUGCUUAUCUAUAACCUCCCACUUCAGCAGUGAAAAACCUGGCUCCUACCAUCUGCCAUCCAUUUACUUAAUUGUUCAAUGUUAGUACACAUGUACUGGGGUUUCAGAAUUGUCAAACCAUACCCCUGUGAGACACAGCUCUACCAACUGGAGGGCAGUGCUUAUGGACAGCUCUUUUCAUCUUGAGUCUUCUUGUUUCCAGUCAUUUCCAAAGUUGUUUAGGUCAGCACCUCUAGUCUCCAUGCCCUUCAAUGAGAUCCCUCGUACGUUUGUAAUACAAUUAGAUUCUGUUGCCAUCAUCUGCAUUUUAUCCUGUGAUUCCCCAUCCUCCUAGUAGAUUUUUAAAAAUUGGCAUACAUUAAGGUUUACUUUUUUUUUUUUUUUUUUUGAGAUGUAGUUUCCCUCUUGUUGCAAGGUCGCGCAAUGGCGCAAUCUUGGCUCACCGGAACCUCCGCCUCCCGGGUUCAAGCGAUUCUCCUCCUCAGCCGCCCGAGUAGCUGGGAUUGCAGGCAUGCACCACCACACCCAGCUAAUUUUGUAUUUUUAGUAGAGAUGGGGUUUCUCCAUGUUGGUCAGGCUGCUCUCGAACUCCCGACCUCAGGUGAUCCACUUGCCUCGGCCUCCCAAAGUGCUGGGAUUACAGGUGUGAGCCACCGCGCCCGGCCAAGGUUUACUUUUUGUGCUGUAAAAUUCUAUGGUUUUGACAAAUGCAUAGUGACAAAUGGAUAGUGUAGGACCUCUUUAUAUGUUCUAGAUAUCAAGCCCUUAGCAGAUAUAUCAAUCACUACAGUACCACACAGAAUAGUUUCAUGGCUGUAAAAUAUCCACUGUGCUUCACUUAGCCACCUGUCUCCUUCUUCUCAGUCCUCUGGCAACCACUGAUCUAUUUCCCAUCUCUAUCAUUUGCUUUUUUAAAGAAAUCAUAUAAACGGAAUUAUCAUAUAUAUAUAUACGUAUAUGUAUAUAUGUAUAUACACACGCACACACACACACACACACACACACAUAUAUAUAUAUAUAAAACAUUUGGAAACUGGCUUCUUUCAUUUAGCAAUAUGCACUUAAGAUUCAUCCAUAUUGUUGUGUGAAUUAACAGUUCCUUUUAUCUCCGAAUAAUGUUCCAUAGUAUGACUGUUCCACUGUUUGUUUAUCCAUUCACCUAUUAAAGGACAUCUUAGUUGCAUCUGGCUUUAUUAUGAAUAAAGCUGCUAUAAACAUUGUGUGCAGGUUUUUGUGUAGACAUAAGAUUCCUUAUCAGUUGAGUAAAUACCUAGGGACAUAAUUUCUAGAUUGUAUGGUAAAUCAAUGUUUAACUUUAUAAGAAACUGCCAAACUUCCAAACCGUACUUCCAAAGUACCAUUUUUCAUUCCCACUAGCAAUGAGUGACAGUUUCUGUUGCUCUGCAUCUUCAUCAGCACUGGUAUUGCCAGUUGGUUGUAAUUUAGCUAUUUUUAUAGGUGUGUAGUAGUUGUUUUAAUUUGCAUUUCUAUAAUGACGAAUGAUCAUUUCUUCAAAUGCUUAUUUGCCAUUUGUAUACAUUCUUUGGUGAGAUGUCUGUUCAUAUCUUGUGCCCAUUUUUUAAUGUAGAUGUUUGCUUUCUUAUUGUUGAGUUUUAGACAUUGUUUGCAUAUUCUGGAUAUGAUCUUUGGGAUGGUUAAUUUUAUGUGUCAACUUCUCUGGGCUAUCACAAGGGAUGCCCAGAUAGCUGGUAAAACUAUUUCUUGGUGUGUCUGUGAGAUUGUUUCCGGAUGAGAUUAGCAUUUGAAUCAGUACACUAGGUAAAGAACUUUGCCCUCAGCAAUGUAGAUGGACAUUAUCUAAUCCAUUGAGGGUCUGAAUAGAUCAGAAAGGCAGAGAGAGUGCAAAUUCUCUCUCUUUCCUUGAGCUGAGCAUCCUUCUUUUCUUCUUCGACAUCAGAGUUCUCCUGGUUCUUAGGUCUUCAAACUCUGGGUCCUAUAAUAGCUGGUACCCUCCCCUCAGGCCCCUGGCCUUUGGAAUUAAAAGUUCUGAUUCUCUGAGAAGCCCUGACUAAUACAAUCUUUCAUUAGCUAUGUGAUUUGCAAAUAUUUACUCCCAUCCUGUGUCUUAUCUUUUCAUCCUUUUUUUUUUUUCUUUUUAGUGACAGGGUCUUGUUCUGUCACCCAGGUUGGAAUGCAGUGGCAUAAUCAUAGCUCACUGUAGCCUCAAACUCUUGGGCUCCAACAAUCCUCCUACCACAGUCUCCUGAAUAGGUGGGACUACAGGUAUUCUACAAUGCCCAGCUAAUUUUUUUUUAGAGGCGGGGUCUUGCUAUGUUGUCCAGGCUGGUCUUGAACACCUGAAUUCAAGCAAUCCUUCCACCUCAGCCUCCAAUGGAGGGCAAUGGUGGGAUCUCAGCUCACUGCAGCCUCCACCUCCCGGGUGCAAGUGAUUCUCCUGCCUCAUCCUCCUAAGUAGCUGGGUCUACAGGCACGUGCUACCACGCCCAGCUAAUUUUUGUGUUUUUUUAGUAGAGUUGGGGUUUCACCAUGUUAGCCAGGCUGGUCUCGAACUCCUGACCUCAAGUGAUUAUGCGCAUGACUCAGCCUCCCAAAGUGCUGGGAUUGCAGGCCUAAACCACCACACCUGGCCAACAGUGCCUUUUAUAGAGCUAAAGUUUAAUAAAGUUCAACUAUCAAUCUUUUAAAAUUAUGUUUUUGGUAUUGUAUCUAAAAACUAGUCAGCACAUCCAAAGUCAAGUAGAUUUCUCCUAUGCUUUCUUCUAGCAGUUUUAUUGUUUUGUGUUAUAUGUUAAGUCUAUGAUCUAUUUUGACUUCAUAUUAAUUUUCAUGUAAGCUGUAAGGCCUAUGUUAAGGAUUUUUUUCUUUGUCUAUAAACAUCUAACUGUUCCAGCAUCUUUGUCAAAAAUGAGUUGACUGUAUUUGUGUGGAUAGCUUUCUGGGCCUUCCAUUCUGUUCCAUUGAUCUAUGUGUCUGUAUUUUUGACCACACUGUCUUUGAUUACUGUAGUUUUAUAGUAAGUCUUAAAAUCGGGCAGUGUGAGUCCUCCAACUUGGUUGUUUUUCACAAUAUUGUUGGCUGUUCUGUACUUUGCCAUCCCAUGUAAAAAAAAAAAUUUUUUUUUUUUUUUUUUUUUUCUUUUGAGACAGAGUCUCGCUCUGUUGCCCAGGCUGGAGUGCAGUGGCACGAUCUCUGCUCACUUCAACCUCCACCUCCAGGCUUCAAAUGAUUCUCGUGAGUCAGCUUGCAAAGUAGCUGGAAUUACAAGCGUGUACCACCAUGCCUGGCUAAUUUUUGGAUAUUUUUCAUAGAGAGGGGGUUUUGCCACGUUGGCCAGGCUAUUUAGUUGUUUGAGUUUCUUAUACGUUUUGAAUAUUAACCCCUUAU
rnacentral:lncRNA from 1 species